rnacentral:rRNA from 1 species
UACGAAGGGGCUAGCGUUGUUCGGAUUUACUGGGCGUAAAGCGCACGUAGGCGGAUCGUUAAGUCGGGGGUGAAAUCCUGGAGCUCAACUCCAGAACUGCCUUCGAUACUGGCGAUCUUGAGUCCGGAAGAGGGUGAGUGGAACUCCUAGUGUAGAGGUGGAAUUCGUAGAUAUUCGCAAGAACACCAGUGGCGAAGGCGGCUCACUGGCCCGAUACUGACGCUGAGGCACGAAAGCGUGGGGAGCAAACAGG